UUUCCCUCAGGAUAGCUGGCAUUCGGAAUGAACGAGUCUCAUCUGGUAAAGCGAAUGAUUAGAGGCCUUGGGGCCGAAACGACCUCAACCUAUUCUCAAACUUUAAAUGGGUGAGAUCUCUGGCUUGCUUGAACAGUGAAGCCACGAGAUUUCGGAUCAGAGUGCCAAGUGGGCCAAUUUUGGUAAGCAGAACUGGCGCUGUGGGA
rnacentral:rRNA from 1 species